rnacentral:rRNA from 1 species
AACGCGAAGAACCUUACCAGGUCUUGACAUCCCUAAUGUAACACCUAGAGAUAGGUGCCCUCUUCGGAGCAUAGGAGACAGGUGGUGCAUGGUUGUCGUCAGCUCGUGUCGUGAGAUGUUGGGUUAAGUCCCGCAACGAGCGCAACCCUUGAUCUUAGUUGCCAGCACUUCGGGUGGGCACUCUAGGAUGACUGCCGGUGACAAACCGGAGGAAGGUGGGGAUGACGUCAAAUCAUCAUGCCCCUUAUGACCUGGGCUACACACGUACUACAAUGGUCGGUACAACGGGAAGCGAAGCCGCGAGGUGGAGCCAAUCCUUAAAAGCCGAUCUCAGUUCGGAUUGCAGGCUGCAACUCGCCUGCAUGAAGUCGGAAUUGCUAGUAAUCGCGGAUCAGCAUGCCGCGGUGAAUACGUUCCCGGGCCUUGUACACACCG